GUGAAAAUACAACAAAAUUAGCCUUAAAUUCUAAGUAAAAGGGGACAUAAUUCAUGAAAGCUUGGUGUCAGAGUUAUGCACCUUGUGUCACAUGAUGUGGGCACAUGAUGUGGGUGAUGAGGUGGAACAUCUAUUUUAAGUUUGAAUCAAAUCCAUUUAGUAAUAACUGAGAUAUAGUGAAAAUACAACAAAAUUAACCUUAAAUUCUAAGUAAAAGGG